AGUCGAACGGUAACAGGAAACAGCUUGCUGUUUCGCUGACGAGUGGCGGACGGGUGAGUAAUGUCUGGGAAACUGCCUGAUGGAGGGGGAUAACUACUGGAAACGGUAGCUAAUACCGCAUAACGUCGCAAGACCAAAGAGGGGGACCUUCGGGCCUCUUGCCAUCGGAUGUGCCCAGAUGGGAUUAGCUUGUUGGUGGGGUAACGGCUCACCAAGGCGACGAUCCCUAGCUGGUCUGAGAGGAUGACCAGCCACACUGGAACUGAGACACGGUCCAGACUCCUACGGGAGGCAGCAGUGGGGAAUAUUGCACAAUGGGCGCAAGCCUGAUGCAGCCAUGCCGCGUGUAUGAAGAAGGCCUUCGGGUUGUAAAGUACUUUCAGCGGGGAGGAAGGGAGUAAAGUUAAUACCUUUGCUCAUUGACGUUACCCGCAGAAGAAGCACCGGCUAACUCCGUGCCAGCAGCCGCGGUAAUACGGAGGGUGCAAGCGUUAAUCGGAAUUACUGGGCGUAAAGCGCACGCAGGCGGUUUGUUAAGUCAGAUGUGAAAUCCCCGGGCUCAACCUGGGAACUGCAUCUGAUACUGGCAAGCUUGAGUCUCGUAGAGGGGGGUAGAAUUCCAGGUGUAGCGGUGAAAUGCGUAGAGAUCUGGAGGAAUACCGGUGGCGAAGGCGGCCCCCUGGACGAA
rnacentral:rRNA from 1 species